rnacentral:tRNA from 1 species
GGGAAGGUGGCUCAGUGGUAGAGUACUUGCCUUGUAUGCAUGAAGCCCUGGGUUUGAUUCCUCAGUCCCA